rnacentral:rRNA from 1 species
UACGAGGGGUGCAAGCGUUGCUCGGAAUUAUUGGGCGUAAAGGGCUCGUAGGCGGUCUGUCACGUCGGGAGUGAAAACUCGGGGCUUAACCCCGAGCCUGCUUCCGAUACGGGCAGACUAGAGGUAUGCAGGGGAGAACGGAAUUCCUGGUGUAGCGGUGAAAUGCGCAGAUAUCAGGAGGAACACCGGUGGCGAAGGCGGUUCUCUGGGCAUUACCUGACGCUGAGGAGCGAAAGUGUGGGGAGCGAACAGG